GAAUUCGAUUAACGCGAAAAACCUUACCCAGGCUUGAACUGCAGAGGACACUCUACGAAAGUAGACUUCCGCAAGGACCUCUGUAGAGGUGCUGCAUGGCUGUCGUCAGCUCGUGUCGUGAGAUGUUGGGUUAAGUCCCGCAACGAGCGCAACCCUUGUCUUCUGUUGCCAUCAGGUUAAGCUGGGCACUCUGAAGAGACUGCCGGUGACAAACCGGAGGAAGGUGGGGAUGACGUCAAGUCAGCAUGGCCUUUAUGUCUGGGGCCACACACGUGCUACAAUGGCAGGUACAAACCGUCGCGAGACCGCAAGGUGGAGCUAAUCGGAUAAAGCCUGUCUCAGUUCGGAUUGUCGGCUGCAACUCGCCGGCAUGAAGUUGGAAUCGCUAGUAAUCGCGGAUCAGCACGCCGCGGUGAAUACGUUCCCGGGCCUUGUCACACCGAAUCACUA
rnacentral:rRNA from 1 species